AUUGAACGCUGGCGGCAUGCUUUACACAUGCAAGUCGAACGGUAACAGGCCGCAAGGUGCUGACGAGUGGCGAACGGGUGAGUAAUGCAUCGGAACGUGCCCAGUCGUGGGGGAUAACGCAGCGAAAGCUGUGCUAAUACCGCAUACGAUCUAUGGAUGAAAGCGGGGGACCGUAAGGCCUCGCGCGAUUGGAGCGGCCGAUGUCAGAUUAGGUAGUUGGUGGGGUAAAGGCACACCAAGCCAACGAUCUGUAGCUGGUCUGAGAGGACGACCAGCCACACUGGGACUGAGACACGGCCCAGACGCCUACGGGAGGCAGCAGUGGGGAAUUUUGGACAAUGGGCGCAAGCCUGAUCCAGCAAUGCCGCGUGCAGGAAGAAGGCCUUCGGUUUGUAAACUGCUUUUGUACGGAACGAAACGGUCUGGGUUAAUACCUCGGGCUAAUGACGGUACCGUAAGAAUAAGCACCGGCUAACUACGUGCCAGCCGCCGCGGUAAGAC
rnacentral:rRNA from 1 species